AGAGAUGAAGAUAGAGAGAAGAGUUGUUGGUGUUUGGGAGAAGAAGAUGCUGUAUGUGUUUGAUAGUUGAUGCUGUUUGUGUGUUUACAUUUAUAAAGAAUAUUGAUUGGCUGUGAUUUGGGGACAAACCUUCAAAAAGUGGAGAGAAAAUAUCACAAAAGGUUGCUAACUUUAGUUUUUUUUUUUUGUUUUUUCACUUAUCACACGGUUCUUACACCUAUCAGAGUGAAAAAAGUAUAAAUGUCACUUCAGUAGUUACAAAUGAAGAUAUUUUAGUUUUAGUAAAGUUUUUUAAUUGUUGGUAAAUUAUUCCUGCAGUUUUAAUUAAAGAUAAUUCCUUGAGAAUAAUGUUGUUUUUUUAUUGUUCUCUUGGUAAUGUAGAUAAAGUGAUAAACUAUAAGUUUUCCUGCUCACCUUUGGCUUUGAACACAUGGUUCGUGUGGCUGAAAAUUCUUAAGACCUAUUGAUUUUAAUUUGAAUAAGAAGAUAAGUUGCUAGGAUUUUUUUUUUCUUUUUUUAGCAUGAAAUUUCUUGUGGUGGCUAUAACUUUGCUUUUUUCUCCUUGUUGGACUUUCCUGUAAGGUUUAUGUUUUCCAACUAAGCAGCAGACAGGUUCAUUGACUCAUAGACUUCUAAUAAAAGCUAAUUUAUUUUCUUUGAAAUUUCCUCUCAUGGCCUCGUUCAUUGUGAACUUUUUUUUCCUAUCAUACCCAUUGAUAUGUUUUUUCUGAUUUGUCUUGCCUGGUUAUGUUAUUCUGCCAAAUUAUAUGUAGAGUUUAGAUUUCUUGACAAAUUUUCCAUUUGAAGUGCCUAGCUGCAUUCUGUUUAUAUCUGCAAUAUGUUGUUAUACCGAGACGACAAGACUUUCAUGUAUUAAGAGACCUUGUAGAUUUGUGUUCAAUGUGCUCCACUGAAAUUGACACUAUGUUGAUUUAGCUCAUUUGUCAAAAGGUGACCAGUAGUGUAUGGAAUGCUUAAUAAGUAAGGCUUUGAUCUUGUUUAUUACACAUGUGAGUUUCAAGUGUUUGUUGUUUUUAUUGGAGAUGCUUUUGAUGCAUUAGAAUCCUUGUCGACUGCAAAUGUUAUUAGAGAAUCUUUCUCUCUCUCUCUUUUUCUUGAUGACUCAUUGAAAGUGACAGUUUGGUCUUUAUUCAGGUGAUGAAGAUUGCGGGUUUUGGCUAUUUCCUCAUCAAGGAGUUUAGUUUUCUCUUGUUUCUAAUUCCCACCAUUAAUAUUUUGAAUGGUAGGAAUGGAUCCUUAUCACCUUUGGCACCUUCUCAUUUUGGCUUGUGCUUUUUAUUCAGAAGGCUAAGAAGUGUAGAAGGCGGGGGCGACAUUGGACAUUGACUCAAACAGAAAGUAAGACAUGGUUUCCCAUAUAUAUCCAAGAAAAUAUCACAAGAAGAUAUUUCAAGUCGACACAUGCAGACAGAAA